GUGUCAGCAGCCGCGGUAAUACGGAGGGUGCAAGCGUUAUCCGGAUUCACUGGGUUUAAAGGGUGCGUAGGAGGGCAGGUAAGUCAGUGGUGAAAUCUCCAAGCUUAACUUGGAAACUGCCGUUGAUACUAUCUGUCUUGAAUACCGUGGAGGUGAGCGGAAUAUGUCAUGUAGCGGUGAAAUGCUUAGAUAUGACAUAGAACACCAAUUGCGAAGGCAGCUCGCUACACGAAUAUUGACUCUGAGGCACGAAAGCGUGGGGAUCAAACAGGAUUAGAUACCCCUGUAGUCC
rnacentral:rRNA from 1 species